rnacentral:misc_RNA from 1 species
GAAAUGCGAUACGUAGUGUGAAUUGCAGAAUUCCGUGAACCAUCGAAUCUUUGAACGCAAAUUGCGCCCAAGGCCUCGGCCAAGGGCAGACCUGCCUCAGCGUCGGCGCACCCCCUCGCUCCCCUUUCAUUCUUUAUUGAACGCAAGCGGGCAGCGGAGCUGGCUCUCUCGGCGCCCUGGACCUUUACCGGCCGGGCGCUCCGGGUUUGCUGAAGCACAGAGGUUUGAGCAGCGACCCCGUUCGCAGGGCGACGGCUUGGUAGGUGGGCUUGCCCGCAUGCAGCCAACUGCCGCCGCCCGAGGGGCUCCUGCUGGAGACCGCGCAGGAAUCUGGGUUUUCUGUGGGGCGAGGCCUUGACCGGCCCCGCUUCCCGCCAGACACUCUAUCAUUCGACCUGAG